rnacentral:misc_RNA from 1 species
UACUGACUAGCUCUCAUAUUUUACUCCUUUAUUUAAUUCUAAUCUUUCUUAUGGAAUCUAUCUUAAGUUCUUGCUUAAUGUUGUGUCAUGUUCUCUGAAUAAUGUAGUUGCUACCCAAAGGCCACAGCUUGCUGGUACAGAUGGAUCAUCAAUAGGUACCUCAUCAGUAAAUUGGGUCCUGAAAUUAAACGAGGCUUGCAGGAGUAAGUUAAUACUUUUGAUUUAUGAAUUUG